rnacentral:rRNA from 1 species
AUGCUGGAAGACAAAGCUGCAGGCAAAUUGGCGCCUUGGAAAGGCAAGCAUGUUGCUAUCUCGGGUCGCAUGACCUUGGUCAAGGCGGUCCUUACGGCGGUGGCCAUUUACCACAUUACACCGCUUGACCUUCCGGUGGAGGUUCUCAAGGCGAUCGAUAGGUUGCGGCGAGCCUACCUUUGGGCCGGAACUGACAAGGUAACUGGUGGAAAGUGCAAAGUAAACUGGGAGCUCGUCUGCAGGCCAAAAGAUUUUGGAGGCCUUGGCAUUUUGCACCUUGGCAAGUUUGCCGCUGCCCUCCGGUUGUGA